UGGGGAAUAUUGCACAAUGGGCGAAAGCCUGAUGCAGCAACGCCGCGUGAGCGAUGAAGGCCUUUGGGUCGUAAAGCUCUGUCCUUGGGGAAGAAAAAAAUGACGGUACCCUUGGAGGAAGCCCCGGCUAACUACGUGCCAGCAGCCGCGGUAAUACGUAGGGGGCAAGCGUUGUCCGGAUUUACUGGGUGUAAAGGGUGCUCAGGCGGAUUUGUAAGUCAGGGGUGAAAUCUUACAGCUUAACUGUGAAACUGCCUUUGAUACUGCAAGCCUAGAGUAUGGAAGAGAGUGAUGGAAUAUCUGGUGUAGCAGUGAAAUGCGUAGAUAUCAGAUAGAACACCAAUGGCGAAGGCAGUCACUUGGUCCAUUACUGACGCUAAAGCACGAAAGCGUGGGUAGCAAACA
rnacentral:rRNA from 1 species